rnacentral:rRNA from 1 species
GACGAACGCUGGCGGCGUGCUUAACACAUGCAAAUCGAACGGUGAAGCGCCUUCCUUUUUGGUGGGUGUGGAUGAGUGGCGAACGGGUGAGUAACACGUGAGUAACCUGCCCCCUUCUUCUGGAUAACCGCAUGAAAGUGUGGCUAAUACGGGAUAUUCUGGGUCUGUCGCAUGAUGGGUCUGGGAAAGAUAUUGUUUCGGUGGGGGAUGGGCUCGCGGCCUAUCAGCUUGUUGGUGGGGUGAUGGCCUACCAAGGCGGUGACGGGUAGCCGGCCUGAGAGGGUGGACGGUCACACUGGGACUGAGACACGGCCCAGACUCCUACGGGAGGCAGCAGUGGGGAAUAUUGCACAAUGGGCGGAAGCCUGAUGCAGCGACGCCGCGUGAGGGAUGGAGGCCUUCGGGUUGUGAACCUCUUUCGCCAGUGAAGCAGGCCUGCCUCGUUUGUGGGUGGGUUGACGGUAGCUGGAUAAGAAGCGCCGGCUAACUACGUG